CAGAGCUGAGAGGAAUGUAUUAAUGGCGGUUGAUGUGCCAGCUUCCACCAAGCCGAACAUGGAAUGUUAUGGACAAGGAAGAGUACAAGAGGAUAUUCUGAUGGACACUCCUGCAUGUGGAGCAGAUCCCAGGAUUCCAUGUGUCCUGUUCGUUUACAAUGUUUCUCGUGAAACUGAGGAUCUCCGCAAUGCUCAAAAAUGGGUUCAAAAGGGAGUAUGGUUAUCACAGUUGGCUUGAUGGCUAGUGUGUGGUUCAGAAUAAGGCCUACAGCACAGAUUUGAUUCCCAUUCCAGCUGAGGUAGACUUGGGACCUGGCUCCUCCCCAGCAAACUACCAGUGCCAGAACUGCCAAGAACAAAGGCUGAGGAAGAAGCAC